rnacentral:rRNA from 1 species
AGCAGCCGCGGUAAUUCCAGCUCCAAUAGCGUAUAUUAAAGUUGUUGCAGUUAAAAAGCUCGUAGUUGAAUUUCGGGAUCAAUAUGUUGGUCGUGCCUUGGUACGUACUGGCGUCAUUGGUUUCUACCUUCUGAAGAACCUCGAUGUCAUUAAUUUGGUGUCUUGGGGAAUCAGGACUGUUACUUUGAAAAAAUUAGAGUGUUUAAAGCAAGCUCACGCUUGAAUACAUUAGCAUGGAAUAAUGAAAUAGGACGUUUGAUCCUAUUUCGUUGGUUUCUAGGAUCGACGUAAUGAUUAAUAGGGAUAGUUGGGGGCAUUAGUAUUCAAUUGUCAGAGGUGAAAUUCUUGGAUUUAUUGAAGACUAACUACUGCGAAAGCAUUUGCCAAGGAUGUUUUCAUUAAUCAAGAACGAAAGUUAGGGGAUCGAAGACGAUCAGAUACCGUCGUAGGCUUAACCAUAAACUAUGCCGACUAGGGAUCGGAUGAUGUUAAUUUUUUAAUGACUCAUUCGGCGCCUUACG